rnacentral:rRNA from 1 species
AGAGUUUGAUCAUGGCUCAGGAUGAACGCUAGCGGCAGGGCUUAAUACAUGCAAGUCGAGGGGCAGCACGGUUAGCAAUAACUGGUGGCGACCGGCGCACGGGUGCGUAACACGUAUACAAUCUACCUUAAACAGGGGGAUAGCCUUUCGAAAGAGAGAUUAAUACCCCGUAAUAAAUUGAACGGCAUCGUUUGAUUUUGAAAGCUCCGGCGGUUUGAGAUGAGUAUGCGUCUGAUUAGCUAGUUGGUGAGGUAACGGCUCACCAAGGCGACGAUCAGUAGGGGAUCUGAGAGGACUAACCCCACACUGGUACUGAGACACGGACCAGACUCCUACGGGAGGCAGCAGUAAGGAAUAUUGGUCAAUGGAGGCAACUCUGAACCAGCCAUGCCGCGUGCAGGAUGACGGCCCUAUGGGUUGUAAACUGCUUUUAUACAAGAGAAAACCCUGGUACGUGUACCAGGUUGAUAGUAUUGUAAGAAUAAGCAUCGGCUAACUUCGUG